AUACGGAGGGUGCAAGCGUUAUUCGGAAUUACUGGGCGUAAAGGGCGCGUAGGCGGCGAUGUAAGUCAAAUGUGAAAGUCCUCGGCUUAACCGGGGAAGUGCAUCUGAAACUGCAUUGCUUGAGUAUGGGAGAGGAAAGUGGAAUUCCCGGUGUAGAGGUGAAAUUCGUAGAGAUCGGGAGGAAUACCGGUGGCGAAGGCGACUUUCUGGACCAAUACUGACGCUGAGGCGCGAAAGCGUGGGGAGCAAACAGGAUUAGAAACCCUAGUAGUCC
rnacentral:rRNA from 1 species